rnacentral:lncRNA from 1 species
UUUGGGUUUCAAUUCACUACAGCAGAAGCACCAUUAUUUUGCCUUUUUCAGUUAGAUGCCUUUGGAUUGUUUGGCUUUUGGUAGAUGCAGAGUAUAGAUUAAGUAUUCCAUAAAAUUCACCACAUGAGUAUACUACUUAAUAGCCAAUUUUCGUGGUCAAAUUCAGCCCUGGAUGCAAAUGGACAUCAUGAUUCUGUUAUGCACCGAGGUCGGUGGUCGAAUUCUCGAUUGGUGUGGAACACCAUGGACAGGGCAAAAUCAGGUCCAAUUUUUUUUGAAUAGCCUAUUGUCUUCACUAGACGAUUUUUCUUUUCUUCUUUGACCCAGUUGAUUGUAUGGCGCUGAAAUAUAAAUAUUUGGUUGCUCGUCCUCCCCUUUGGAAAUUCAUACCAUCCCUGGAAAUGUUUGAUUGACCAUCUUCUUCUUAUUGAUCCAUAAAAACUUGACAUUUUUGUUGUAAAAACAUACCUGUAUAUAUGUUGAUAGUCUAGUAAGAAAUUGUUCUGUCUGGGUUUGUGCAUCUUAAAAAAUAUAUCAUCUAUUGCUUUUAUCCUUGAACUAUUGCUAUGGCGAUGAAUGCCCAUGCGUACCUUUGUUGUCACUUUUUAGGGUGUGCGUAGUUUGUUAAUUUAGGUAAGUACAGGAUAUCCUUACUCAUACAAAAUGCCCAAUUGUUGUUCUUGUAAAUAUAGGCGUGCCUACCAUUGCCCCAUCGGCACCAUCACCCAACAGAAAAGGGCCCUAGCCUCUUCUUAUGACAAGAAAAAUAGGUGUUGUUACCUGUUUGCAUCUGAGAUUGCAUAAUAUUGGAGAACAUGCUUAAUUGGCCUGUGCAUUUGGCAGAUAUAGUACUGUUUGUUCUGCUACUAGCAUCCUAUACUGUUUAGUUGGUAUUUGGUAUUAUAUAUUUUUCUUCUAGCCUAGAAUUAUUUAUUUUAGAUCUUGUUGCAUGAUGUCUCAUGUAUAUGACUAGUACUACUAUUUCUACAUGCUUAUAUGUUUGUGCAUUGACUAGCUUAGCUAGCACAGUAGUGUUCUGUUGAAAUUUGAGGCAAAUCUUUGUUCAUAAGUGUCUUUGUUCCCAUGCAGUGUGCUUUGAAACGUAGGGAGAAUCUUGUGGAGGAGUAGGGCGCAUCGGACAUUGUCUCGCUUGUGCUGCUGUGGUAAAAAUAGAGCACCACUCUUACUUGAUGUGCAUAUGUUAAUACGGCAAAAUGAUUGAGAUCUGUUUGAC